rnacentral:misc_RNA from 1 species
ACACCUCAACUCUCAUGGCUUGCCAUGAUGAGCUUGGACUUAUGGGGGUCUUGCUGGCUUAUGGUCGGCUCCUCUCAAACGAAUCAGCUUGCCAGUGUUUGGUGGCGUCACAGGUGUGAUAACUAUCUACGCUUGUGGUUUCCCGCCAGGUAACCUUCAGCAAUGGAGAUUCGCUGGGGCUCAUAAAAGUCUCCUUGGUGGGGACAGCUUUGUGAAU